GUCGAGAAUUUUUCUCAAUGGGGGAAACCCUGAAGCAGCGACGCCGCGUGGGGGAUGAAGGGCUUCGGCUCGUAAACCUCUGUCAUUUGUGAGCAAGUGUUAUUGUUUAAGAGAUGAUGACAUUGAUAGUAGCAAAAGAGGAAGGGACGGCUAACUAUGUGCCAGCAGCCGCGGUAAUACAGAGGUCCCAAGCGUUGUUCGGAAUCACUGGGCGUAAAGGGUGCGUAGACGGUAUAGUAAGACUUGGGUGAAAUCUCCAUGAUUAACGUGGAGGUAGCCUGGGAAACUGCUGUGCUAGAGGAUUGAAAGGGAGACUGGAAUUCUAGGGGUAGAAGUGAAAUGCGUAGAUAUCUAGAGGAACACCAGUGGCGAAGGCGAGUCUCUGGAAAAGACCUGACGCUGAGGCACGAAGGCCAGGGGAUCAAACGGGAUUAGAAACCCGUGUAGUCC
rnacentral:rRNA from 1 species